CGGGAGAUGCCCCGUGGGGGCCUGUCUCGAGGCCCUAAGAGAAAAAGAAGUCGGGAUGCAGAGUACCCAUCCUUUCCAGGAGAGAGUCCCCUACCUUGCAGACGAGCAGGGCUCAGGACCGUGGGGGCUGAGGCUUCCCUGUCUGAAGCAUGGCUCAGGUGUGGAGAAGGAUUUCUGAAGAGUCCCGGCACUCCGUCAUUAACAGCUGAAAAGAAGACUACCACAGAAAAACACCUUGAAUUAUCCUGUCGACCCAAGAAAGAACCUACCGCCUUUAAGAGUACCAGUGGGCUUGCAGCUAUAACGUGGAGUUCCAGUGAAAGUGAUCUGUCAGAUGAAGAUAAAACAGCUUUUAAAUCACACAGAGAUAAUAGAUAUCAUUCUAGAACAGGCAGGUGUUGUAACAGCAACAUUUUAUGUCCAGAAGAUGGGGCCAGUGAAGAUGACCUGCAGGUUAUUGACUGGGAGAUAGACAGUGAGAGGGAAGAUGCUUGUGAACGUGAUGAAUUUGAAGACCGAGAAAGUGUGCUGGAAAUAUCUGACUGUGCUUCUGGUGCAAGCAGUCGUUCUUUGACACCAGCAGAGACGCCACCUGAGCUUCCUAAGAUAAAUCCUACAGAGAUUUUAGAGUAUUCAUCAGAUAGUGAAGAAGAUGACAGCUCUGAGAACGUCUUGGUCAUUGAUUCAGAAUCCUCUCACAAAUACCACAUGGAUUUUGGGUCAAAUGGAACACAGGUUACAGAGAGAGGAGAAAACCUGAGGGUAGAAUCUACGGAGACCAUUUUGCAGACACCCAAGAAACACACAAAACUUCCCAAGACUCCAGAAAGUUCAGCAAAGAGGAAGAAGCUUUUAAGAGGCGGGCUAGCAGAAAGACUUAAUGGACUGCAGAAUCGAGAGAGAUCCACCAUUUCUUUGUGGAGACAUCAGGGUCUUUCUUACCAAAAGACACUUUCAGGUAUAAAAUCUGGUGUCUUAACUGUGAAGAUUCUAGAGCUGCAUGAGGAGUGCACUGUCCACGUCGCCACGUGUAGGCAGCUGUCAGAGCUACAGGCUGACGGCCCUUCUCAGGGUGGGGCCGCGGAGGCCAGCCUGAAGGUUCUCUUCACCAAGGAGACUGCCCGCUGUCUCAGGGGGCGUCCACAGGAUGUUGUCCACAUCUAUCCUCCCUGGCAAAAGCUUAUUAUCCCAGGUGGAAGUUGCCCUGUUAUUCUGAAUACUUACUUUUGUCAGAAAGCUGUUGCCAAAGAAGAUUCAGAAGCAUCACGUGAUGGGCAUGAGUGUGACGUGCCCUGUCCGAGGAGGAGCAGCACUCUGGCUCAGGUGUUCCAGUUUAAGAGCCUAACCGAUAGCUCACCCGAAAGCAAGGUUCUGUGUGAUCGUCACACUGCAGUGGGCACAGACCGGACCCUCCAUCCCGAACAAGCAGAGCCAUGCGUCCCCAGCCGAGCUCCCCUGAGGGAUUCUCUGCUGGAUGCAGUUGAGAGCCACGGAGCUGCUGCCUGGACGGGAGUGGGCGUGCGAGUGGUGGUGCAGAGAGUGUACUCCCUGCCCUGCAGAGGCCAGCAGGCAGACAGCACAGCCCCACCCAGAGCACGAGUCUGCCUUCUUGUGCAAGAUGCCCUUGGACUCUUCAGUGAGGUGCACUUGGAGGGCGACAUACUGAAGGACAGGCAGCUGGAGGGGAAGUGCUGCAGGCUGUCAGGCAUGAAGGUUCUGCAGAAGGUCACCAGAGCAAGAGAGAGAUGUUAUAAUUUGUUGUCUGCUUUUCACUUAGCAAGGAUGGCCGAGCUUUUUAGUUUGAUUGACACCAUGUGGCCUCCACGGGCAGCUCUGAAAGCAACAGGCCCUGGCACAGCCUUUGAGGAGAAAACUCAUCUGCCUCCUCCUAGCUGCUGUUACAUCCUCAGCGCUCAUCCAGACUUGGGGCAGAUUGAUGUAAUUGAAGAUGACCCCGUUGCAGAACUUUACCAGCCACCGACUCCCCGCUUCUUAAAAGAAAUUAUGCAGGCGGAUGGCCUCUGUACCCAUUGCAGCUUCUGUGCCAGAGUGAUUUACCGGAGACCACAGGCAGACAGUUUGUUUCUGGAGCCAAGGGAGAUGUGGCUGGUGGUGACUGACAUUACUCUGCAGACACUGGACGAGGACUCAGGCCUCCCCAGGACUGUUCCUGUGCGUGUGGCCACCUCAUGCCUGCUGGACCAGGAAGUCCGGGAUGCUCUCUGCGAGACCACCUCCCAGAGCUUCCUCUUCCGGGACGCUCUCCGAGACCAGGGUCAGAUUGUCUGUGUUGGCCGAACUGUCCUCCUGCCUCUGAAACCCCAUGAGGGUGUGACCGUGGGUGCCGGGGAGCUGUCAGGCCCCCUGCGUCUGGAUGAGCUGGGCCCUGGCACUCGGGUCAACUCCAUUUGCAGCAUCCGAGGCACCGUGGUCGCUGUGGACGAGAGCACCGCCUGCUCGUGGCCUGUGUGUGAUCUGUGUGGCAGCGAGAGACUGGAACGGAGCCUGGCAGACAGCAGGGGCACCUUCUCCUGUGGGGACUGCUCCCGUGUGGUCACCUCGCCCAUCCUCAGGAGGCACCUGCAGGUCUUCCUGGACUCCGCCUCGCGACCCCGGUGCACAAUCAGGGUCAAGCUGCUACAAGACAGCAUCUCUUCGCUCCUGAGGUUCGCUGCCUGUGAGGAUGGGAGUUACGAAGUGAGGAGUGUCCUCGGAAAGGAGGUGGGGCCGUUAACCUGUUUUGUCCGGUGCCUCACCACCCACCCGACCAGCAGCAUGGGAUUGGAGGAGGUUGAGCUCCUGAGCGAGGGGAGAGCCUCUUGAGAAUACUGGCAACGGCCACAGGAUCUGCGAACUUUACCAAGUGGCUGAGAGGUGGUGGUGGUUUGGGUAAUUUCUUAACCCUGGGCAGAGUGAAUGUACUUUAUGAUCUUGAAAUGGAACUUCAUGUUAGUAAAAUGGCUUUGUAAACUAUAAAUCAAAAUACUUUUUUCUGUGAUUAUAUAUUUCUUAUUACCUUUCUGCAUGUUAAAGCUUAAAUAAGCUUCAGGCCUUCAUAUUUAUUUUAGAUAAUACAGUAGAAAAAAUUAUUUUGUCCUACUGUAAUUUUAAAGUGUUCCGUUCAAAUUUUACCAUGAUUCAACAGGUUUUUCUCCCCAUUUCUUUUAACAUUCCCCCAAAGAAUACCCGGCAAAGGGCAAACCUUUGUCCUCUCGUCUAUUACUGCCCUGCACAGUCAGUGUCCAACCUAAGUGCUUUGCAGUUCAUUAUUUUUUGGAAAAUGUUCUGGGGGCACUGUGUCAGAGGUCCAACUGUUAUGGGUAAAGUAUAGAUAACGUGAGAGAACAACAGGUCUGGUUAGCACUGGGUGCAGAGACAAGGCCACCCUGCCACAGGAGAGCUGGGUCAUCGUUCACCUUGUUGGCAGAGUAUCUGAGUUAAAAGUAAAACCCCGGAUUAAUUAUCUCUGGACACUAAAGAUUUUGUUUCCUCCCUUAUGACAAUAUAAUCAUGACAGGCCACAGUUAAUAAAUUACAUAAUAUAGAGGUAGCA
rnacentral:lncRNA from 1 species